rnacentral:rRNA from 1 species
GCAGGCUGCAACUCGCCUGCAUGAAGUCGGAAUUGCUAGUAAUCGCGGAUCAGCAUGCCGCGGUGAAUACGUUCUCGGGCCUUGUACACACCGCCCGUCACACCAUGGGAGUCGGUAACACCCGAAGUCUGUAGCCUGACGCAAGAGGGCGCAGCCGAAGGUGGGAUUGAUGACUGGGGCGAAGUCGUAACAAGGUACC